rnacentral:rRNA from 1 species
UACGGAGGGUGCGAGCGUUGUCCGGAAUCACUGGGCGUAAAGGGCGCGUAGGCGGCGCGGAUAGUCGGCGGUGAAAGCCCGGAGCUCAACUCCGGGUCGGCCGUCGAUACUUCCGGGCUUGAGCACUGUAGAGGCAGAUGGAAUUCCGGGUGUAGCGGUGGAAUGCGUAGAGAUCCGGAAGAACACCGGUGGCGAAGGCGGUCUGCUGGGCGAGU